CCCUUAGAUGUUCUGGGCCGCACGCGCGCUACACUGAUUCAUGCAACAAGCAUCCGUCCUUGGCCGACAGGCCCGGGCAAUCUUUGAACGCUGAUCGUGAUGGGGAUAGACUUUUGCAAUUUUUGGUCUUCAACGAGGAAUUCCUAGUAAACGCAAGUCAUCAACUUGCAUUGAUUACGUCCCUGCCCUUUGUACACACCGCCCGUCGCACCUACCGAUUGAAUGGUCCGGUGAAGCCUCCGGAUUGGCGUGCACCCUCGGGUGCUGCCGAGAAGUUGGCUAAACCUUACCAUUUAGAGGAAGGUGAAGUCGUAACA
rnacentral:rRNA from 1 species